rnacentral:rRNA from 1 species
GAUGAACGCUGGCGGCGUGCCUAAUACAUGCAAGUCGAGCGAACGGACGAGAAGCUUGCUUCUCUGAUGUUAGCGGCGGACGGGUGAGUAACACGUGGAUAACCUACCUAUAAGACUGGGAUAACUUCGGGAAACCGGAGCUAAUACCGGAUAAUAUUUUGAACCGCAUGGUUCAAAAGUGAAAGACGGUCUUGCUGUCACUUAUAGAUGGAUCCGCGCUGCAUUAGCUAGUUGGUAAGGUAACGGCUUACCAAGGCAACGAUGCAUAGCCGACCUGAGAGGGUGAUCGGCCACACUGGAACUGAGACACGGUCCAGACUCCUACGGGAGGCAGCAGUAGGGAAUCUUCCGCAAUGGGCGAAAGCCUGACGGAGCAACGCCGCGUGAGUGAUGAAGGUCUUCGGAUCGUAAAACUCUGUUAUUAGGGAAGAACAUAUGUGUAAGUAACUGUGCACAUCUUGACGGUACCUAAUCAGAAAGCCACGGCUAACUACGUGCCAGCAGCCGCGGUAAUACGUAGGUGGCAAGCGUUAUCCGGAAUUAUUGGGCGUAAAGCGCGCGUAGGCGGUUUUUUAAGUCUGAUGUGAAAGCCCACGGCUCAACCGUGGAGGGUCAUUGGAAACUGGAAAACUUGAGUGCAGAAGAGGAAAGUGGAAUUCCAUGUGUAGCGGUGAAAUGCGCAGAGAUAUGGAGGAACACCAGUGGCGAAGGCGACUUUCUGGUCUGUAACUGACGCUGAUGUGCGAAAGCGUGGGGAUCAAACAGGAUUAGAUACCCUGGUAGCCCACGCCGUAAACGAUGAGUGCUAAGUGUUAGGGGGUUUCCGCCCCUUAGUGCUGCAGCUAACGCAUUAAGCACUCCGCCUGGGGAGUACGACCGCAAGGUUGAAACUCAAAGGAAUUGACGGGGACCCGCACAAGCGGUGGAGCAUGUGGUUUAAUUCGAAGCAACGCGAAGAACCUUACCAAAUCUUGACAUCCUUUGACAACUCUAGAGAUAGAGCCUUCCCCUUCGGGGGACAAAGUGACAGGUGGUGCAUGGUUGUCGUCAGCUCGUGUCGUGAGAUGUUGGGUUAAGUCCCGCAACGAGCGCAACCCUUAAGCUUAGUUGCCAUCAUUAAGUUGGGCACUCUAAGUUGACUGCCGGUGACAAACCGGAGGAAGGUGGGGAUGGCGUCAAAUCAUCAUGCCCCUUAUGAUUUGGGCUACACACGUGCUACAAUGGACAAUACAAAGGGCAGCGAAACCGCGAGGUCAAGCAAAUCCCAUAAAGUUGUUCUCAGUUCGGAUUGUAGUCUGCAACUCGACUACAUGAAGCUGGAAUCGCUAGUAAUCGUAGAUCAGCAUGCUACGGUGAAUACGUUCCCGGGUCU